UGCAACAAGUGGUGACUUUGGUGGGACUCUUCUUCGCUGUGACUGAUAUCCUGACCACUUAGGGUACUUAGGAACCAGCUUGCCCACCGAUGGACCAGACCCAGCAGCUGCAACUGGGACCCUUUUGUCUGUGGUCUCCUCUUGAUGCGGACAAUUGGCCAGAGUGCCCCAACAGGGGCCCAGUGAUGGCCAUGGGCUACAGAAGAUGAGAUGGUUGGACGGCAUCCCUGACUCAAUAGGCAUGGUGUGAGCAGGAUCCAGGAAUUGGUGAUGGACAGGAAAGCCUGGUGUGCUGCAGUCCAUGGGAUCACAAAGGGUCGAACAUGACUGAACGACUGAACUGAACUGAUGACCAUCCUUUUAGGCCUCCUGUUUGGCCCUGUCUGUUUAAUCUCUGUGAGGGGAUUAAACCUAAAUUGCUGUUUU